rnacentral:lncRNA from 1 species
ACUUAGAGAUUCACUCCUAACAAGUAGGAUAAGGCAGAAGCGAUGGGUGUGACUCCUGUGAAAAGUCAUGAAAGGUCAUGAAAAGUGCUGUGGCUUUCUCCUGGCUCUGGGGAGGCAGCUGCCAUGUUAUGAAGACACUCAAGCUGCCCUACGGGAAGCCCCUGUAGGGAGGAGGCGAGGCCUCCUGCCCAAACCGCGUGAGUGAGCCCCCUUGCAAUUGGACCUUCUGGGCCAGUCAAGCCUUCAGAUGCCCAUGUCCCAGCCGACACCUUGACUGCAUCCACAUGAGGGAAGGUGAGCCAGAGUCUCCCCUCCAAGCUCUCGAAUUCUUGACCUCCACGAACGGAUAAUGAAUAUUUUUGCCUUUUGCAGGAAGGAUUCAAUUCACUUUCCAGGUUCUGCUAUGGGAAGAACCGGUGCCCAGGGUCGUUCUUGGGUCCUUCCACUAUUCAUCUGUUUUGUAAGGACCUCCUAUCUGGGAGGCUGGUAGGAGGGCCUAUGUUACUAUCUUCCCCUCCUGUGGGUAUUACUCUCCUCCCUCCUACUCCUGUGAACCUCCCUUCUGAACUUCUUUAGGGGAAUUCUUUGCCUCAGCCCCGACGCGGGCUACAGCCUCAUCCCCAUCUCCCAGGCAUGUGCAUCAUCUGAGGACCUUCAGCUGUGUUCACCCCAAACCUUUUCCUUCAGCUGCAAGAGGCAGGCCUCAGCUCCUGAGGCCUCCACGAAGCCUUUGAAGAUCCUCAGGCUGCUGGGUGGCAUGCUGGACGCAGGGGAUCCCAGGAGGAAACCAAGGCUUGGUGAGGUGACCCGGCUCACUGGAAGUCCGUGCUUUCACUGUCUGCGUAGCCGCCAUCCCUAACCUGGGUCCUGACAUUAGUGGCUACACCUGCAAGAAUCCAGAGAAAUGGUGAGAUCCGUGACUAGCCCUGGACUCUGGCCCCCGGGUCCUCACCUGUCAGCUCGGCAGCUCCUCAAAGGCUCUGGCAGCUCAGAGGGGCAAGAUCCUG